UUAGUGCCGCAGNUAACGCAUUAAGCACUCCGCCUGGGGAGUACGACCGCAAGGUUGAAACUCAAAGGAAUUGACGGGGGCCCGCACAAGCGGUGGAGCAUGUGGUUUAAUUNGAAGCAACGCGAAGAACCUUACCAGGUCUUGACAUCCCUCUGACCGCUCUAGAGAUAGAGUUUUCCUUCGGGACAGAGGUGACAGGUGGUGCAUGGUNGUCNUCAGCUCGUGUCGUGAGAUGUUGGGUUAAGUCCCGCAACGAGCGCAACCCCUAUUGUUAGUUGCCAUCAUUCAGUUGGGCACUCUAGCGAGACUGCCGGUAAUGAACCGGAGGAAGGUGGGGAUGACGUCAAAUCAUCAUGCCCCUUAUGACCUGGGCUACACACGUGCUACAAUGGCUGGUACAACGAGUCGCAAGCCGGUGACGGCAAGCUAAUCUCUUAAAGCCAGUCUCAGUUCGGAUUGUAGGCUGCAACUCGCCUACAUGAAGUCGGAAUCGCUAGUAAUCGCGGAUCAGCACGCCGCGGUGAAUACGUUCCCGGGCCUUGUACACACCGCCCGNCACACCACGAGAGUUUGUAACACCCGAANU
rnacentral:rRNA from 1 species